AGAGUUUGAUCCUGGCUCAGGAUGAACGCUAGCUACAGGCUUAACACAUGCAAGUCGAGGGGCAGCAUUUUAGUUUGCUUGCAAACUAAAGAUGGCGACCGGCGCACGGGUGAGUAACACGUAUCCAACCUGCCGAUAACUCGGGGAUAGCCUUUCGAAAGAAAGAUUAAUAUCCGAUAGUAUAUUAAACCGCAUGGUUUUACUAUUAAAGAAUUUCGGUUAUCGAUGGGGAUGCGUUCCAUUAGUUUGUUGGCGGGGUAACGGCCCACCAAGACUACGAUGGAUAGGGGUUCUGAGAGGAAGGUCCCCCACAUUGGAACUGAGACACGGUCCAAACUCCUACGGGAGGCAGCAGUGAGGAAUAUUGGUCAAUGGACGAGAGUCUGAACCAGCCAAGUAGCGUGAAGGAUGACUGCCCUAUGGGUUGUAAACUUCUUUUAUAUGGGAAUAAAGUAUUCCACGUGUGGAAUUUUGUAUGUACCAUAUGAAUAAGGAUCGGCUAACUCCGUGCCAGCAGCCGCGGUAAUACGGAGGAUCCGAGCGUUAUCCGGAUUUAUUGGGUUUAAAGGGAGCGUAGGUGGAUUGUUAAGUCAGUUGUGAAAGUUUGCGGCUCAACCGUAAAAUUGCAGUUGAAACUGGCAGUCUUGAGUACAGUAGAGGUGGGCGGAAUUCGUGGUGUAGCGGUGAAAUGCUUAGAUAUCACGAAGAACUCCGAUUGCGAAGGCAGCUCACUAGACUGCAACUGACACUGAUGCUCGAAAGUGUGGGUAUCAAACAGGAUUAGAUACCCUGGUAGUCCACACAGUAAACGAUGAAUACUCGCUGUUUGCGAUAUACAGUAAGCGGCCAAGCGAAAGCAUUAAGUAUUCCACCUGGGGAGUACGCCGGCAACGGUGAAACUCAAAGGAAUUGACGGGGGCCCGCACAAGCGGAGGAACAUGUGGUUUAAUUCGAUGAUACGCGAGGAACCUUACCCGGGCUUAAAUUGCAUUUGAAUAAUCUGGAAACAGGUUAGCCGCAAGGCAAAUGUGAAGGUGCUGCAUGGUUGUCGUCAGCUCGUGCCGUGAGGUGUCGGCUUAAGUGCCAUAACGAGCGCAACCCUUAUCUUUAGUUACUAACAGGUCAUGCUGAGGACUCUAGAGAGACUGCCGUCGUAAGAUGUGAGGAAGGUGGGGAUGACGUCAAAUCAGCACGGCCCUUACGUCCGGGGCUACACACGUGUUACAAUGGGGGGUACAGAAGGCAGCUACCUGGCGACAGGAUGCUAAUCCCAAAAACCUCUCUCAGUUCGGAUCGAAGUCUGCAACCCGACUUCGUGAAGCUGGAUUCGCUAGUAAUCGCGCAUCAGCCAUGGCGCGGUGAAUACGUUCCCGGGCCUUGUACACACCGCCCGUCAAGCCAUGAAAGCCGGGGGUACCUGAAGUACGUAACCGCAAGGAGCGUCCUAGGGUAAAACUGGUAAUUGGGGCUAAGUCGUAACAAGGUAGCCGUACCGGAAGGUGCGGCUG
rnacentral:rRNA from 3 species